UGAAUAUUUUAGACCGUCGGAUAUAAUUAAACUGAGAAUAUAUCUAACGGUUCAGAAUAUUCAAUGAUGGUGACCUGCUCACCUGGUAGCCUCUUUUUUUUUUUUUUUUGUUGUUGCAAAAUUCUGAAUUACAUAUCGGCCAUAAAAUUUGAGAUUUUCUCAGAAAACCCUAAAUUGAAAGGGCACGUAAGAACUCGUUCAAUUUCUUCAGUACAAAUUUUUCUUUUGCUCUGAUAAAACCCUAAGUUGAAAAGGAGAAGACUGGAGGAAUGAAGAAUUGCAUUGAGGAAUGAUAGAUUUCCCAAUUCUCGUUGGACCAUCUUGGACUCUUGGUUACUUCCAAAGGACUUUUCUUUUCGUGUGUCAUCACAUACUUUUGAAGCAUGGAUGGAUCAUAUGAAUCUUCAAUGUGUAAUGGAAGUGACUGUAAUGAAAUGCAAUAUAAGGGAGUUUGGUAUGAUAAGUUGUCUACAGAAGAUCUUAAAGGGCAGGAGUUUAAGACUGUGGAGGAAGUUGAAUCAUUUUACAAUGCUUAUGCAAAGGAUAUGGGUUUUGGUGUUAGAAACGACUACAAGAGAUUAAGUAUACGCAUAACAGGGAGAGUCACUUCAUUGCGAUUGGUUUGUUCUGCUCAAGGGAAAAGUAGUACAUGAGUAACAAGAAAAGAGUUCGCAAGCCAAAGAAAGAAACAAGAUUCAAUUCCAAGUGCUGGAGAUUACUUAAAAAAGACAAGGAGGGUGAUUGAAUAUCAAUCCCACUCUAGUUCACACAGAGUUCCAUCAAAGAAUGGCAAUGAAAGAUGCAAGAUGGUAACACAACUAUAUUCAAGUUGUUUUGAGUGAAUUCAAGGUGAAGCACUUUAAGAUUACACCUGACUGCAAUUUGGAUCCACGUGGUGAUUCGAAAAAAGUCAUCACUUAUCUCUGCAUUGACUGUGGCAUUGAAAGACCAGCAAAUGCCAAAGCACUCUAUCUUAUUAUCACCACGAUGAAACAAGUACAUUGUUGUGUCAACAUUGUUGGAAUAUAUGAAUUGAGGCUAGCUUUGUUCUUACUGUGAUAAGAGUCUGGUUGGUUAGCUAAUCAUUUUGCUUGUUUCAAUGACAUACUAAUGUGGUGGGAGUUAGUUGCAUAUCCAUGCCUUGUCUACAAGUUAUU